rfam:Schistosoma mattheei strain Denwood, Zambia genome assembly, scaffold: SMTD_scaffold0001306
AUCCAGCUGACGAGUCCCAAAAAGGACGAAACGCGCAUCCUGGAU